rnacentral:rRNA from 1 species
AGUGAACGCUGGCGGCGUGCUUAACACAUGCAAGUCGAACGAGAACGGAAUAUAGCUUGCUAUAUUUGUCAGCUAAGUGGCGCACGGGUGAGUAAUGUAUAGAUAACCUGCCCUUAAGAAAGGAAUAACAGUUGGAAACGACUGCUAAUGCCCUAUAUGCCUUUAAUACAUAAGUAUGCAAGGGAAACGCUUUAGUGCUUAAGGAUGGGUCAGUAUGGUAUCAGCUUGUUGGUGAGGUAAUGGCUCACCAAGGCUAUGACGCCUAACUGGUUUGAGAGGAUGAUCAGUCACACUGGAACUGAGACACGGUCCAGACUCCUACGGGAGGCAGCAGUGGGGAAUAUUGCACAAUGGACGAAAGUCUGAUGCAGCAACGCCGCGUGGAGGAUGACACAUUUCGGUGCGUAAACUCCUUUUAUAUAGGAAGAUAAUGACGGUACUAUAUGAAUAAGCACCGGCUAACUCCGUGCCAGCCGCCGCUGUAAUAC